rnacentral:tRNA from 1 species
UCCCUGGUGGCUCAGAGGAUAAAGUGUCUGCCUGAAAUGCAGGAGACCCAGGUUCGAUCCCUGGGUUGGGAA